rnacentral:rRNA from 1 species
UACGUAGGGUGCAAGCGUUGUCCGGAUUUAUUGGGCGUAAAAGAGCUCGUAGGCGGUUUGUCGCGUCGGAUGUGAAAACCCAGGGCUCAACCCUGGGCCUGCAUUCGAUACGGGCGGACUUGAGUACUGCAGGGGAGACUGGAAUUCCUGGUGUAGCGGUGAAAUGCGCAGAUAUCAGGAGGAACACCGGUGGCGAAGGCGGGUCUCUGGGGCAGUAACUGA